GAAGAUGGUGCUGUGCUGAGGAA
rnacentral:miRNA from 1 species